rnacentral:rRNA from 1 species
CCUACGGGAGGCAGCAGUGAGGAAUAUUCCACAAUGGGGGAAACCCUGAUGGAGCGAUGCCGCGUGCAGGAAGACGCUUUUCGGAGUGUAAACUGCUUUUAACAAGGAAGAUUAUGACGGUACUUGUAGAAUAAGGACCGGCUAACUACGUGCCAGCAGCCGCGGUAAUACGUAGGGUCCAAGCGUUAUUCGGAAUUACUGGGCGUAAAGCGUUCGUAGGCGGUUUGAUAAGUUGGAUGUGAAAUCCUGUGGCUCAACCACAUGGACUGUGUCCAAAACUAUCUGACUAGAGCAUAGUAGAGGCAAGUGGAAUUUGCGGUGUAGGAGUGACAUCCGUAGAUAUCGCAAGGAACACCAAUGGCGGAGGCAGCUUGCUGGGCUAUUGCUGACGCUCAGGAACGAAAGCGUGGGGAGCGAACGGGGAUUAGAUACCCCGGGUAGUCCACGCCGUAAACGAUGAUCACUAGCAGUAUGGAGAUUCGACCCUCUGUGUUGCACAGCUAACGCGUUAAGUGAUCCGCCUGGGGAUACGGGCGCAAGCCUAAAACUCAAAGGAUUGACGG